UUGGGUGGGGGGGGUUCCCUCAGCCUGGAUUGUGAGAGGGUGCAGGCCACUCCAAGGGACCCCACCAGUGCCUG
rnacentral:pre_miRNA from 1 species